GGUAUUUAGCUUAUUGGUAGAGCAUGUGGUUAACAUAUACAAGGUCCUGGGUUCAAUCCCUAGUACCA
rnacentral:tRNA from 1 species